UCUGGUGACAAUAGCGUAAAGGUAACACCCCUUCCCAUUCCGAACAGGCAGGUUAAGCUUUACAGCGCUGAUGGUACUGCAGGGGAGGCCCUGUGGGAGAGUAAGACAUCGCCAGGU
rfam:Clostridium collagenovorans DSM 3089 genome assembly, contig: EJ35DRAFT_scaffold00004.4